UGCUAUUGGUCGUUCGAUGUCAAACAGCCGUAUUCAGCUAAGGAGCAUGCGUACUAGGAGAGAUAUCCGGAAUGAAAUGGUUCUCCAUGAGAGCCUCAAGCGAACAUUCAACAACUUGAAAACUGGAUUGAAAAUGAGAGACAGAGCAGCCACGGCAGAAGCUUCCAAAAUCACUCUGCACCUUCUUGAUCUGCUGCAAUCUGCGUCGUGAAGUAGCUCCCAUGUUGCACUUUGGUAAAGAGUUACAGGAUUUUCAUCCAGUGGUGAUAAGGAUGGCCAGAGCAGCACGCAGUCCUCCAGAAGAGGACUCGCCAACAUCGCUUCCCAACUCCUGUACUCAAAGGCCUGAGCAAUGAAGACAAGUGUGCUAAAUGCCUUCCUAACCACCCUGUCUACCUGUGAUGCAAAUUUCAAAGAAUGAUGUACCUGAAACCCAAGGUUUUUUUCUGAUCUGCAACACUACCCAGAGCCCAACCAUUAAUUGUGAUGUGGACUUUGCAGGCUUGGCCAGAAUUUAUUGCCCAGAGGGCUAUCAAGUGUCAACUGCAUUGCUGUACGGCUGGAGUCACAUAUCGACCAAACCAGGAAAUUUGAAAGGGAACAUUUACUGACAGGCAGCUCAACUCAAACACUGGAUCAAAAACUGCCAGGAACACUUAAUUCUCAGGAGCUUUGAACAUGGAAGGAACAAGCAUCGUUUACAGUGAAGAGAAACCAUACAUGUGGUGUGUGUGGACAAGCCUUCAGUCAGUUGUCUGGCCUGACAGUACGUAAAUGCAGUCAAAACAGGGUGACAACAAUGACAUCGUGCAGCACUUGCUUUGUAAUAUCAUAGUGAUGGAUCUCAGUUUGAGUUAAGCAAGGGCCACUCAUCUCCAUUCUUGGUGAAAACAUGGACCAAACAGCUGAAUUCCAAAUGUGAGAGUGACUAUCCACUAUCUUAAAGCUCCAUUUGACAGAGCAUUGUGUUGAGGAAUCAUGACAAAGCUAAGUUCAAUAGGAACUAGAGAAUAUUAUUCUUCCAUGGAUAGCUGGUUUUUGAAAACAUUGUGUCUUCAGACCUCACUGGAUUGAAACAAGGUGAGUUUAUUCAAACUUGUACCACAUACACGCGGAAGAGGUCUAUAAGCCGAGCUCGGAGACACUUCCAUUUACAGCUACUCAGAAACAGCAUAUUAAGGCAUUUUCACGUCAGAAUGGUUGCAUGUAACAUUGAUAUAAAAUAAAUGUAUAUGUCAGUUACUUACUACAAAACAGGAUGCUGUUCAGUUUCUGACAAAGUUCUGAGUCCUCUAAUUUCAACAGGACUGCCACUUCCAUUCUAUCUUCAGAGCUUCUCCACCCCACUAUCAGCUCACAGCUAGGUGAGUAAUAUUUACAUGACUGUUAUACAGUUAGUUUCAGAGCCCUAAGUAACUGUUGAUGUUUCACUGUUAUGGACCUGCAGUUAAACUGUCUGAGACAUGUGAAUGUGAGAACAUCCCAUUCAUUUAUAUACUUCUAUAAAUUAAAGUCUUUUGUCUGCAUUUGAUUCCUACACAGAGACUUUAAUUUAUAGAAGUAAACUCUUAUCCACCUACACAUUGAUAUGCAAGUACUACCCUGAAGCUUCCUGCCCAGCUAGAAAUUCAAUGUAAAGCUCUUGUAACUCCUUUUCUUCUCACACAUCGGUCUGCAGACUCUGUCUUAAGUUUCCUGACUGAAUUAAAAUGAGAAUCAAACUGUUUCAAAUAGGGUUAGGUGGGGAAGUUUUGUAAAGGUGUGAAACCUCUGAAGCAUGUAACUUCUGUCGCUGACAAAGGGGCCAGGGCUCUGACUUUGUUCUAGUCAGACACACUGGCAACUUGAAAUCAGAAUCUGUCCCAGACAACAACUCGAAAUCGCCUCCCGCCAUUAGCAGCUGCUUCACUAGCAAUCGAUACUAUAUCCUGGUCUUUUAUGUUGUUGCUGGAAUAACUGUUUGGUAUCCUGUUUUUGUCUGUUGUAGUAAUUGUUUUCUGUAUCAUGUCAUUGUCAGUUGUGAAAUCGUUUUAUGCAUCAUGUCUUUUGUAAACUAUAAAAAGCGGGGACUGUCCGCUGCUCAGGGAGAACUACUUGAGACUGUGCACUCUGUGCUGGGUUGAGUACAGUAAUUCUCCACAGC